rnacentral:rRNA from 1 species
AUGACUAAGGAGGUGAUGUUGGCAUUCGAAAAAUAUGCUGAAAGAAAUACUAAUCUCAAGGGUCUUGACUGGCAGAUUGAGGAACUCUGUCACCAGUGCUUUAAUGUGGAAUACCAUCACAAAGUUUUCCACCAUUACAAUUUCACUGUAAAGAUUGAGAGCCCUAGUUCAAGUGAUUCCAGAGUGGCAUUGUUCUUCGCCGAGGUGAAAGAGAUAUUCGGAAGAAAAUACUAUUUCUGCUGCCCUCUAGAACCAAAUGAAAAUGGUCAGUGUUAUGCAUGCCAUAACCAAGGAGUUUCAGGUCAUGUCAGGUGGAUAUGA